CCUACGGGCGGCAUCAGUGGGGAAUAUUGCACAAUGGGGGAAACCCUGAUGCAGCGACGCCGCGUGAGUGAAGAAGUAUCUCGGUAUGUAAAGCUCUAUCAGCAGGGAAGAAGAAAGACGGUACCUGACUAAGAAGCCCCGGCCAACUACGUACCAGCAGCCGCGGUAAUACGUAGGGGGCAAGCGUUAUCCGGAUUUACUGGGGGUAAAGGGAGCGUAGACGGCUGUGCAAGUCUGACGGGAAAGCCCAGGGCUUAACCCUGGGACUGCUUUGGAAACUGGAGAGCUAGAGUACUGGAGAGGUAAGUGGAAUUCCUGGUGUAGCGGUGAAAUGCGUAGAUAUUAGGAGGAACCCCAGUGGCGAAGGCGGCUUACUGGACAGUAACUGACGUUGAGGCUCGAAAGCGUGGGGAGCAAACAGGAUUAGAUACCCCUGUAGUC
rnacentral:rRNA from 1 species